UUUUGGUUACGCGUGGCACAAGUCUCGUGCUGGGUGAUAAAGUUUUCCUCCUUCUGCAAAGCGAAGCAACAUUUCCCACCUCUCGGCUCCUCCCACAGAUUCCCAGAGAUUCAUCAAAGAUUGCGCAACAAACCUUGAUCUUCGGCAAAGGCGCUCUGGUCUCAGUAAAGGCUGAAGUCCUAAGACCACGGGAGGAAAUGGGUGCGCUGGAGCCUGAAACCAGGGCGAACAGGACACGUGCUCCCAGAUCUUCAGAGCUACUGGCUGCAGAUCUGGUACUGCGGGCCACUCAGGGCCCUGGCGUUCCUCCCAGGCAGCACGACCUUGGCUUCUGGUCUGAGUGAGGGGCUUGUUUCCUCUCCUGCUCAGAUUUGAAGACCGGAUAACCCCGAUGAUCACUCCAGCUCUCUGAAGCGAACACCAGCCCACCUGCUCCCUGUAAACAGUAAUAUACUGACACACCUAUAGAAUAACCGCGAUGGGGGUCCCUUUGACAGACAUGUCGAGGAGGUGGGUAUGGAAGUGGUCUUUACUCCUCUUUCUGCCCCUCUUUUUGCUCUCCCACCGUAGAGAGUGUGGUUGCCACUUUAAGGCCAUGAUUUAGUUAAAGGACCUGCCUGUCCCAUGAGAGACAACCUUCGUUCUGCUGUCUCCUGGGUUUUCACGUUACAGCCUAGUCCCUGCAAAUUAGGUGAAGCCUUACAGUUGUGGGGGUUAGGGGUGGUUCCCUGGUUCAUCAGGUAGGUUUGUAUACAUCCUGCUACCGCACUUUCAAACCAAGAAUGAAGUACACCUCCUCCCCAGAGUCCCCCAGCCAGGAUCCUUAAGUAAUCCCUUCUGGAAGUUUCCUCUGAAGGAUCAAACUCAAGCAGUUGUCUUACCCGGUGUCGCCACCCUCCUCCCCAACCUGGCUCCUCACUAAAGGAUUCCUGGGACCCCAAAAGACAUCAUUCUACUGAGGGUUCAGAUUGCAGAAGUCUUCGAAUCAGAAGUGAGGGGUUCAGAGGGAUUCAAUACCAAUGUCCAAGAAGGCCACCCUCAGCCACUAAUAAAAAAAUCACUCCAGGA